GACGAACGCUGGCGGCGUGCUUAACACAUGCAAGUCGAACGAAGUCGCGAACGGGUGAGUAACGCGUAAUCAACCUGCCCUUCAGAGGGGGACAACAGUUGGAAACGACUGCUAAUACCGCAUACUGAAGGAGGGGAUUGCGUCUGAUUAGCUGGUUGGAGGGGUAACGGCCCACCAAGGCGAUGAUCAGUAGCGAGACUGAGAUGAUGGACGGCCACAUUGGGACUGAGACACGGCCCAGACUCCUACGGGAGGCAGCAGUGGGGAAUUUUCCGCAAUGGAGGGAAGUCUGACGGAGCAACGCCGCGUGAGUGAUGACGGCCUUCGGGUUGGAAAGCUCUGUUAAUCGGGACGCGGUACCGGAAUAGAAAGCCACGGCUAAAUACGUGCCAGCAGCCGCGGUAAUUC
rnacentral:rRNA from 1 species